rnacentral:tRNA from 5 species
GGGCGAUUAGCUCAGCUGGUUAGAGCGCGACACUGAUAAUGUCGAGGUCGCAAGUUCAAGUCUUGCAUCGCCCACCA